UGUAAAACGGGCUUUCUCCAUUCUCAGGGUGAGGAGAAGCGCGUAUAUGGGCCGUGUGCAGAGGACAGGGAAGCUCUCCGUGAAGGUGGCACUGGUGGGGACCAGAAGUCCUGGGAGCAGAACCCCACACCGGCUUUCCCUCGGGAGAAGCCCAGUGAACCUGGCUGGAUCUGGCAGAGGGAGGACAGCAUGGCCAAUGAAACAACCGGUCCCAGUUGGCAGAGGAGAAACCCAGGUGGCCCCCAGCAGCAGACCCAGGACAUCUGACCAUCAGAGCAGAUCAGUGUUUAACAGCAUCCUUCUCGCCACAACAAGUAUUUUCCUCAAGAAUCGUGGAAGGAAACAAAUAAUAAGAAUGGCCAGAAGAGAAACAUAGACAGUGAAGUUUUUCUUGUAUUAAACUUCGUAUAUCAAUUAUAUUGAUACAUAAAGCGUAUUGAUAUAUAUA